AGCCGUGUGGCCGAGAGGUAAGGUAGAGGUUUGCAAAACCUAGCACGUCGGUUCGACUCCGACCGCGGCGUCAA
rnacentral:tRNA from 1 species